rnacentral:misc_RNA from 1 species
CAUGGAAGACCGGACUGCCCAUUGACUUUACCAACCGUAUCCCGCUGAUUUCGAAAUUACUUCCCGAGAACGGACUCAGACUUUGGGGAAAAUACACGAGGCAUCCUGAUUCGCGCCAGGAGCGACUUUUCUUUGCCCUUCUCGCCGAAUGCUUACAGACCGGCCAAAUAACGCCCCA